AACGAACGCUGGCGGCAGGCCUAACACAUGCAAGUCGAGCGCCCCAGCAAUGGGGAGCGGCAGACGGGUGAGUAACGCGUGGGUAUCUACCUAGUGGUGCGGAAUAGCCCAGGGAAACUUGGAGUAAUACCGCAUAAGCCCGAAAGGGGAAAGAUUUAUCGCCAUUAGAUGAGCCCGCGUUGGAUUAGCUAGUUGGUGGGGUAACGGCCCACCAAGGCGACGAUCCAUAGCUGGUCUGAGAGGAUGAUCAGCCGCACUGGGACUGAGACACGGCCCAGACUCCUACGGGAGGCAGCAGUGGGGGAAUAUUGGACAAUGGGCGCAAGCCUGAUCCAGCCAUGCCGCGUGAGUGACGAA
rnacentral:rRNA from 1 species